UUUGAUCAGCCUGUAGGGUCACGUGCUAGGGAGCUUGCUAGUGUUAUUGGUUGUUUGGUGAGGAAGAUAUCAGUUCAGUGCUCUGAUUGGAGGCUUGUUGAUAUUAAAAAGAAGGAUGCACUUUGGAAAGAAAUAAAGGCUAAAUAUGAUAUUCAUGCUGAUGGGAAGCAUUGGGUUUUAAAAACUGCUGGAUAUAAAUGGAAGGACUUUAAGGCAACUUUGAAGAAAAUGUAUUUUGAU